UGUCCUUCUCACAGGAGUGUGUGCUCCUGUGGGCCGUUUGUGUAGGAUGCUCUCACCACCUUCUUUAUGGAGCCUGUGUCCACAGUUCCUGAAGAUCUGGGGAGAUAUAUCUGCUCAAUCCUGUCUCUGGAGCCAGGAGGUGGCUCCUGUCCCUUCCUCUGAACAACCUUGGGAGUGAGUUGGCAUCCACCAGGAGGAAAAGAACAUGUACCCAGGCUGGGUAAGACCAUGAAUCCUUUAAGAAGUGUUUAAUCUCCCGGUGUGGGAACAAAACAAAACAAAAAAAAAGAAGUGUUUAAUGAACAUCUCGGAGCUCCCUUGGAUUUAUUUUCUUACAUCCUGAGCUCUUCUGAACACCUCCUCACCGAGAGGUUUGUCCUCAUUUCCUGAGUUGGUAGUAAAAUAGAGUAUUUACUUUGCUAGUAGAAACAGAAAAUGGUGCAGCAUGUUUGGAAAACAGUGCAACAGUGCAAGUGUUUAAACAAAGAGCUACCACAUUAUCCAGCAAUUCCACUGCUAGGUAUUAAUAUAUACCCAAGAAAAAUAUAAAUAUAUGUGCACAAAAAACUGUACUUGAAUGUUCAUAGCAGCAUUAUGGGUCCAUCUGUAGAACUACUGAGGAACAGCUUUGUCCAUAAAGAGAGUCCCCAGAAUUCUCUGUGAUGCUUUUCAACUAGGGGGAUGACCUUGAACAACUCCCAUGAACCAAUCUAUCUGGGUUUUACUCAUCUUGUCUCCACUGAAUGGUAUAGCAAGGAUAAUUCUGUGUCUGCUUUUGCUUUCCUAUUAUUAUUUUGGAAUAUUACAGGGGUACAAAUGUUUAGGUUACAUAUAUUCCCCGAGUCAGAGCUACAAGCAUGCCCAUCCCCCAGAUAGAGUGCGCUGCACCUACUAGGUGUGAAUAUACCUAUCACCCCCUCUCCCUCCAACCUUCUUGACACUGAUGAAUGCUAUUUCCAUACGUGCACAUAAAUGCUGAUCAAUUAAUACCAAGUAGAUAGUAGAUAUAUGUGGUGUUUCUUUUUGCAUUCUUGUUUUACUUUAAUUAGGAGAAUGUCUUAAUAUUACAAUGCUGCUUUUUUGUGCCUUGGGCAGAUGCCCAGUACUGGGAUUGCUGGAUCAAAUGGUAUUACUACUUUUAGGUCUUUGAGGUAUCUCAAUAUUACUUUCCAUAUUAAUUGUACUAGUUUGCACUUAAUUUAAAGUAAAAAAAAUAACUUUCAUGUUCAGUGAUAAUGCUAUAGGUCUUAGAAGACAAAAAAAAUUUCCUAACAAAAGCAGAAGAAAACAGGAAAUAAAUUUAAAAAGUCAUGUUUGUGAUGACAUGAGAGCACUAUAGAAGAAAUAAAGAGCAGAUGACUUAACAUUCCAAUGAGGCAAUAGCCUUUCUAGGUGAUCUGAUGUUCUCCUGUGAUUGUGUUCUUUAGUGAAAUUUGCAGAUUUGAGUGUGCUUGAGAAUUUGAGCUCAGCCCAUGCAGAAGAUUCUACUAGUAGGAGAAUCCAGCUGAGUCUGGCAGAUAUAAGAUGGGGGAAGAGUCAAUUUUGGAAGCUCAUCUCCACCCUGCUGGGAUGACUAGGAAUGCUUCAUAUGACCUAAAGUCCAUGUGCUAGGACGUUGGCUAACCUGUGGUUCACUGAGGCCUCAGAGCCCUGCGUGAUGCAAGACUUCCCCACCAGCUUGCAGGGACAUCAGGGCACAAUCUGAAGGCCAGUCAGGAACUAGUCAUCACUGUUCUGCCAGGCCAAGGCUGUCACAGCUAACAGAUACUAUAUGUGCCUGCCAAGGUGAAGCCAUAGCCCUCAUGGUCCAGAUCAGUGGCCUGCACAUAUUCUUUGAAGUUCCCUGCAAUGUGCUCUAUGGCACCCGAACACUAGACAAACAACUCGGUUGAGCAGCUGGGCCACCCAGCAGAGAGAGUUACUCAAUCAGGUGCCCUCCUAUCAUAUUUGAAUGUCAGAAGAGGAUGAUUCAAUAUUCAUAGACACCUGCAGGCAGACACUUGGACACACUGAGGAGUGGAGGAUCCCCUGGUGAGGAGCUGCAUCAGCUGAGAACGUCAGCACCCCCACCUUUGAGCCUCCAAGACCGGUCUGAGGACCACAUGGCCAGGCAGCUCAUGACAUCAGUGGCAGAGAGACUCUGGCUACUGUCAGACCACCAGAGAGUCCCCUGUUUCUAGCAUCAGCUUCCCUGACGACCCUACACCCAGGCUUGUACUUCCAAUUCUAAUUUCCUGUAUUAAAGCAAUUUUUGCUUCAAAUCUGUA